GUCCCUGUUGCGCAAUGGACUUGAAUGGCGCUUUGGUCUUCCAAUCCGAAUGGCGUGGGUUCGAAUCCCACCUGGGAUG